rnacentral:tRNA from 1 species
GGCCAGGCGGGCCCCGGCCAGGCGGGCGCCGUUCAGGUCGGCGCCGUUCAGGUCGGCGCCGUUCAGGUUGGCCUCGGUGA